UACAGAGGGUGCGAGCGUUAAUCGGAAUUACUGGGCGUAAAGCGCACGUAGGCGGCUUGGUAUGUCGGGUGUGAAAUCCCCGGGCUCAACCUGGGAACUGCAUCCGAAACUGCCUUGCUAGAGUAUGGGAGAGGGAAGUGGAAUUUCCGGUGUAGCGGUGAAAUGCGUAGAUAUCAGGAGGAACACCCGUGGCGAAAGCGGCUCUCUGGGACGGUACUGACGCUGAGACGCGAAAGCGUGGGGAGCAAACAGG
rnacentral:rRNA from 1 species